rnacentral:rRNA from 1 species
AACGAACGCUGGCGGCAUGCCUAAUACAUGCACGUCGAACGAGAUCUUCGGAUCUAGUGGCGCACGGGUGCGUAACGCGUGGGAAUCUGCCCUUGGGUUCGGAAUAACGUCGGGAAACUGACGCUAAUACCGGAUGAUGACGUAAGUCCAAAGAUUUAUCGCCCAAGGAUGAGCCCGCGUAGGAUUAGCUAGUUGGUGAGGUAAAGGCUCACCAAGGCGACGAUCCUUAGCUGGUCUGAGAGGAUGAUCAGCCACACUGGGACUGGGACACGGCCCAGACUCCAACGGGAGGCAGCAGUAGGGAAGAUUGGACAAUGGGCGCAAGCCUGAUCCAGCAAUGCCGCGUGAGUGAUGAAGGCCUUAGGGUUGUAAAGCUCUUUUACCCGGGAUGAUAAUGACAGUACCGGGAGAAUAAGCCCCGGCUAACUCCGUGCCAGCAGCCGCGGUAA